rnacentral:rRNA from 1 species
UACGUAGGGGGCAAGCGUUGUCCGGAUUUAUUGGGCGUAAAGAGCGUGUAGGCGGCUAGGUAGGUCCGUUGUGAAAACUCGAGGCUCAACCUCGAGACGCCGAUGGAAACCAUCUGGCUAGAGUCCGGAAGAGGAGAGUGGAAUUCCCGGUGUAGCGGUGAAAUGCGCAGAUAUCAGGAAGAACACCCGUGGCUAAGGCGGCUCUCUAGUACGGUACUGACGCUGAGACGCGAAAGCGUGGGGAGCGAACAGG